AACGAACGCUGGCGGCAUGCCUAACACAUGCAAGUCGAACGAGACCUUCGGGCUUAGUGGCGCACUGGUGCGUAACGCGGGGGGACCUGCCCUUAGGUUCGGAAUAACUCCCCGAAAGGGGUGCUAAUACCGGAUAAUGUCUUCGGACCAAAGAUUUAUCGCCUUUGGAUGGGCCUGCGUUGGAUUAGCUAGUUGGUAGGGUAAAAGCCUACCAAGGCGACGAUACAUAGCUGGUCUGAGAGGAUGAUCAGCCACACUGGGACUGAGACACGGCCCAGACUACUACGGGAGGCAGGAGUGGGGAAUAUUGGACAAUGGGCGAAAGCCUGAUCCAGCAAUGCCGGGUGAGUGAUGAAGGCCUUAGGGUUGUAAAGCUCUUUUACCCGGGAUGAUAAUGACAGUACCGGGAGAAUAAGCUCCGGCUAACUCCGUG
rnacentral:rRNA from 1 species